UACGAGUGCCCCGAGCGUUAUCCGGAAUCAUUGGGCGUAAAGGGUGUGUAGGUGGCAGUGUUAGUCAGACGUUAAAGCCCGGAGCUUAACUCCGGAUCUGCGUUUGAAACGGCACAGCUAGAGGAUGGCAGGGAUGUAUGGAACUCAUGGAGUAGGGGUGAAAUCCGUUGAUAUCAUGGGGAACACCAAAAGCGAAGGCAGUACAUUGGGCCACUCCUGACACUGAAACACGAAAGCGUGGGUAGCGAAUGGG
rnacentral:rRNA from 1 species